AGCUCGGCCCUCCCGGCCCGCCCGCGCCCGGGAGCCCGCGGCCAGGAGACUCUGCCAAGGAGGGGGCGGCGGCGGCGGCGGCGGGGCCGGGAACGCGUGGCCUGGCCGGGCUGAGGAAACAGCAACCCCUCCAGGCUCUCCUACAGCGUCUCCAGGGACUUAAACGUGCCUCAGCCACGUGAUUACCCUGAUCUGCCUGCUGGGAGAUGAGCAAAGGUCCGAGAGGGACUAGAUCUCAGCAGAGACAGCAGUUCCUGAGCACCCACCCCCGAGCGCUUCCAGAAGUGCAAUGCAACAUGGACCAGCCUGUGAGCAUUUGCUCCUCCUCAGAAGGACCUCUCAGCCAGCUGAAGUCAAGGAGAUUCCAUGAUCUCACCCCUACUUAAAAGAAACUCAGAGCUCAUCUCCUGCAGGACCUGCCAAAUCUUCCAACAGAACAAAAGAACCAAGCCAAAACUCAGUUCAAACAAUAUGGUCAGAACACUAUAAGCUGUUUUGGAAUUCAUCACAAGGGAGAAAUACAGAAAUUAAUUCCCCUUUACUUCUAUCUGGUUAUCAGUCACUUCAAAGAUUUGACCUGUUUUUCUCUUUCACCCAAAGAAAGUGUGUUAGUUGCUCAGUUGUAUCCGACUCUUUUGCGACCCCAUGGACUGUAUCCCGCCAGGCUCCACUUUCCAUGGAAUUCUCCAGGCAUGAAUACCAGAGUGGGUAGCCAUUCCCUUCACCAGGGGAUCUUCCCCACCCAGGGAUUGAACCUGGGUCUCCUGCACUGUGGGCAGAUUCUUUACCAUCUGAGCCACCAGGAGUCAUUUCCACCAAAUAACUGUGAAACAACACUUCUUGAAGGUAGAAUUCAUUUCAGCACUGAAUGCAUGCUUAAACAUUUGAGAAUGAAUAAAUGGUUAAUUGCUAACAUAAGAAAAAGGGUCUUCUUUAUACAGUCUCUUCUAAGCCGACACCAAGGGUUUUA